CCCUUAGAUGUUCUGGGCUGCACGCGCGCUACACUGACACUAUCAACGAGUGCUCCUGGUUUGGAAGGAUCGGGUAAUCUUUUGAAAUGGUGUCGUGAUGGGGAUAGAUCAUUGCAAUUAUUGAUCUUGAACGAGGAAUUCCUAGUAAAUGUGAGUCAUCAGCUCACGUUGAUUACGUCCCUGCCCUUUGUACACACCGCCCGUCGCUCCUACCGAUUGAGUGAACCGAUGAGUAGUCCGGAUUGCGAUCGACCUCGGUUAAUCGCGAGAAGUUCCGCAAAUCACUUCACUUAGAGGAAGGAGAAGUCGUAACA
rnacentral:rRNA from 1 species